rnacentral:lncRNA from 1 species
CGGGGAUCAAUUUCAUCUUGAUUCACACACAGACUUCACAAAUCUUGACUGUACCCAGUAGUUUUUCAUCACUACAUUAGAAAUCCAGAUAGUACGGCACCAAAGCACAAUGAGUUGCUUGUAAGUCACUAUAGUGAUCUCAGAUCUGAGAAACACUUAUACCCAUAUACUUCGUAAGCAGCUCUUGAUAGUAGAAUGCUCAGUAGGUGAGUCACUUGUUCAGUGACGAUGUACUCCUACAUCUCACCUGUAUGUCAUACUAGUGUCACCACACUCCUUGGUUAAGAAGAUAAC